rnacentral:rRNA from 1 species
AGUGAACGCUGGCGGUAGGCCUAACUCAUGCAAGUCGAACGGCAGCACAGUAAGAGCUUGCUCUUACGGGUGGCGAGUGGCGGACGGGUGAGGAAUACAUCGGAAUCUACUUUUUCGUGGGGGAUAACGUAGGGAAACUUACGCUAAUACCGCAUACGACCUACGGGUGAAAGCAGGGGAUCUUCGGACCUUGCGCGAUUGAAUGAGCCGAUGUCGGAUUAGCUAGUUGGCGGGGUAAAGGCCCACCAAGGCGACGAUCCGUAGCUGGCCUGAGAGGAUGGUAGGCCACACUGGAACUGAGACACGGUCAAUACUCCUACGGGAGGCAGCAGUGGGGAAUAUUGGACAAUGGGCGCAAGCCUGAUCCAGCCAUACCGCGUGGGUGAAGAAGGCCUUCGGGUUGUAAAGCCCUUUUGUUGGGAAAGAAAAGCAGCAGGUUAAUACCCCGCUGUUCUGACGGUACCCAAAGAAUAAGCACCGGCUAACUUCGUG